CUCCUCAUCCUCCCAGAUGCCCUCGAUAAUGGUUAUUCCCAACUGACUUUCUUCCCAGGGCAGGUGAAUGGGGCUGGGUGGUCUUCCCUUAGACACACCUGGAUUCCAGCACCCAGAUUUAAGAAACAACACCAGGGACUUCCCUGUGGAGUGAAAAGGACACUUUAUACACUCUUAGUGGGAGCAGAAUAUGAUCUGUUCUUUCUGAAUAUGAUUCAGCACUCCUGUUUGAUAGAAUUUUGAAUAAUCCUGUUUAUUCUCUCAAAGAAGUAGAUUGCUGGGUGAGGGACCUGAGAAACUUGGGGGGGUUCCAGAGGCCAGGUGCUGAUUGAAUAGCCCAAGAUACCCUGAAGGCCCCCAGGGAGGUGACAGGACAGGCCUGAGGAGGAUCCAGUCAGCAUGCCUGCAGGGCACUUUCCAGUGAAAAAUCAAGAUGGUCUGCAAGGUGAAAACUCAGAAACAACAAUGCACAAUUCAUUCUUUGGAUACUUCUCAUAACAUCAUUUUACAUAUCUGGUGCUAAAAAAAUGGCAGAUUUACAUAUUUUAUCUAUGCAGUUGGAAACCUGUGUAUCAAGAUCAGAGAAGGCAAAGAAGUGAGGUUGCAAAAGAAUGUGGAGGGAAAUAAAUUUGUAGGAAAAAAAGGAGGAGGAUGACUGGUUGUGUACUGUGUGAUAAGCUGCUUGUGGUACAGUCUAGAGAUUACAUGGCAUAGUUCAGUGACUUAGACUUGUGGUGAUUGUUUUACAGUGAGUGAAUAUUUUGCAACUUUUGAAGCAGAAGCUCUGUAACUAGAGUUGAAGCUGCAUUUAUCCUUUAGAAAUAGGGGUCAAGUUUUCAGGAAUUUGCUUCCAGUGUUCACACCUAUCUCUGGAUGCCUUAAAAGAAGCCCAGGAGGGGGUCCAGCCCCAGCUAGGACCCUAAAACUUCCAGGUGAGCCAGGCCAGAGCUCCUCACUCACACUCUUGGAAGCAACACCUGCAUCUGGCAAGGAGGCUUGCUAAUUGCAGGUGCCAGUUGAGGGGGUGACUAUGUCACCUGUGGGUGUGUGUGGAGGGCACUGGGAGAGGUAGAAAAUCUUGAGAUAAACACAAGAAUCAGCCCCUAAAGUCAGUCCCCCCUUACCUUGAGAACAGAUAACAUCCAUGACUCCAGUGAAAGCCACAGAUAUUUACAGGAGUGUGGAUCUUAGGACUCCAAAAUAAUUUUUAAAAAUCUCUUCUUAGAGUUCAUAUUGUGGCUCAGCAGGUUAAGAACCUCACAUAGUGUCCAUGAGGAUGCAUGUUCAAACCCUGGCCUCAGUGAGUGGGUUAAACCCUGGCAUUGUGGUGAGCUUUGGAGUAGGUCUCAGAUGAGGCUCAAAUCCUGCAUAGCUGAGGCUGUGGCAUGGGCCUGCAGGUGCAGCUCCAAUUUGACCCCCACCCUAGGAACUUCCAUAUGCCACUGGUGUGGCCCUAAACAACAACAACAAAAAAACAAAAAACCACCUCUUUUCCUUGUCACUAAAUUAUUUAUCAUUAUACAAGCACACAUGUACUACAAAAAUUAGGUAAAGGAAGAAGCAACCCACAUAGAUGUCUCAAACUGCUGAGGGUUUUGGUGUAUGGCUUUUUUACAGCUUUUUGGUGAGGGACCAUCUUUCAGCUUUGCCCUUGUGCUAGAACAUACUAGGGAACACUUUUCCAUGAUAAGCUCACUCUUCUGAAGAGUGGUUGAAUAUUUCACUGUACCCAAUGUAUCUUUACUUUUCUGACCUCUUUCUUAAUAUUCAUUUUGUUGUUUCCAGUAUGUUGCAAGUGUAUACAGCCAAUAUAAAUGGAAGUUCUUGCCUCUGCAUGUUUACACAGACAUCAGUGUCUGUACCAGGAGAAAUUCAUACAAGUAGAUGCUGGGUCAGUGUGCAGGUCUCCUUGGCCUCUGGAUCUGUCUUUCCACUGGAAGAGCAGCUGCCCACAGCUCACUGAUCCUUGAGACUGAGGCCAAGCCCAUGUCAAUAGCUUCUCAGAGUCACACAAUUUGAGUUCAAAGUGGGGACAUGUUGGCAAUAGGACCUGGUCCUGCUGAGAACCUGCAAUCUUGAUGGUGACAUCAGGGGCUUUUGUGUGUUAAUAGUGCCAUCCCUUCCCUGACCUGAUCCAGGGUCUCUAAUGCAUCUCUAAAUACCAAAGCCUCAAUAUGCCAAAAGAGCUGCUGUGGGGCUUAAGUCUUCUGUUGUGUGGAUCCUGGGCUGUCCAUAGUGAUGUACUCAGCCAGGAAUGCAUGAGGCACAUGCCUGGCCUGCUUUACUCUGGGAAGCCCCACAAACAACUCCCCUGCUGGGCCAUGUAGUGGCUAUAUCACCUAGUGGUAAUUGCGGAACACCUUCAGCAAAAAUCAUCAGGGAAUGUUGAGGAACAAGAUUUACUCCUGGAGGUUUUGUGGGUGCACAUCCCUCCUGCCCAGGGCCAUACAACCUGGUUGUGGUCAGAGAGGGUAGGAAUGUGAGCCUGGGGCUCUGCCUCUAUGGGGGCAUGGGAGUGGGGGGGGCAGGUCUAUGGCUUCUUUGGUUCACUUUUCAUUGGCAAAUUGAAAGCAUAGGAGUAGGAAUUAGGGUGUUGGAGGGGUGGUCACUCAAAUUGUCACUUGCUAGGUUAUCCAGGGCCUUCCAAAUGAGGAUCUUUUGUGGGGAGGUGCUUUUGGGAUUUAUUUGGGGGUCUUACUGGUGGUUCUAUCACACAGCAGGCUGUAUGUUUAUUGAAGACAAAUGGCUUUGAAAUGGGUGUUACUAUCAGGAUCAUACACUCCAUCAUUGCAAACCCUCAGGACCAAAGUCCCUUUUUUUAAUGAUUUUUAUUGUUUUCCAUUAUACAUUGUUUACAGUGUUCUGUCAAUUUUCUACAGUACAGCAUGGUGACCCAGUUUCACAUACAUGUAUACAUUCUUUUUUCUCCCAUUGUAAUGCUUCAUCAUAAAUGAUCAGACAUAGUUUCCUGUGCUACACAGCAGGAUCUCAUUGCUAAUCCUUUCCAAAGGCAAUAGUCUGCAUCUUUUAAGCACAAGCACUCCAUCUAUCCCACUCCCUCCCCCUUGGCAGAAGCAAGUCUAUUCUCCAAGUCGAAGAUUUUCUUUUUUGUGGAAGUAUUCAUUUGUGGCACAAAUAUCAAGGAUAUCAUAUGGUAUUUGUCUUUCUCUUUCUGACUUAUUUCACUCAGGAUGAGAGUCUCUAGUUCCUUACAUGUUAUUGCAAAUGGCAUUAUGUUGUUCUUUUUUAUGGCUGAGAAGUAUUCCAUUGUGUAUAUAUGCCACAUCUUCCUAAUCCAAUCAUCUGUCAAUGGACAUUUGGGUUGUUUCCAUGUCUUGGCUAUUGUGAAUAGAGCUGCAAUGAACAUGCAGGUGCAUGUGUCUUUUUCAAGGAAAGUUUUGUCUGGAUAUAUGCCCAGGAGUGUGAUUGCUGGGUCAUAUGGUAGCUUAGUGUAUAGUUUCCUAAGGUACCUCCAUACUCUUCUCCAUAGUGGUUGUACCAGCUUACAUUCCCACCAGAAGUGAAGGAGGGUUCACUUUACUCCACACCCCCUCCAGCAUUUGUUCUUUGUGGACUUAUUAAUGAUAGCUAUUCUGAUGGGUGGGAGGUGGUAUCUCAUGGUAGUUUUGAUUUGCAUUUCUCUAAUAAUCAGGGAUGUUGAGCAUCGUUUCAGGUGCUUGUUGGCCAUCUGUAUAUCUUCCUUGGAGAAAUGCCUAUUCAGGUCUUUUUCUCACUUUUCAAUUGGGUCUUUGGCUUUUUUUGCUGUUGAGUUGUAUAAGUUGUUUGUAUAUUUUAGAGAUUAAGCCCUUAUCAGUUUCAUCAUUUGAAACUAUUUUCUCCCAUUCUGUAAGAUGUCUUUUUGUUUUCUUUUUGGUUUCCUUUGCUGUGCAAAAGCUUGUCAUUUUGUUAGGUCCCACUGGUUUAUUUUUGCUUUUAUUUCUGUUACUUUGGGAGAUUGACCUGAGAAAACAUUUUUUUUUUGUCUUUUUGCCAUUUCUUGGGCCACUUCCACGGCAUAUGGAGGUUCCCAGGCUAGGGGUCAAAUCGGAGCUGUAGCUGCCAGCCUACACCAGAGCCACAGCAACGCAGGAUCUGAGCCAUGUCUGCAACCUAUACCACAGCUCAUGGCAAUGCCAGAUCGUCAACCCACUGAGCAAGGGCAAGUAUUGAACCCUCAACCUCACGGUUCCUAGUCAGAUUCGUUAACCACUGCGCCACAACAGGAACUCCAGAAAACAUUUUUAAGGUUGAUGUCAGAGAAUGUUUUGCCUAUGUUCUCUUCUAGGAGUUUUAUGGUGUCUUGUCUUAUAUUUAAGUCUUUCAGCCAAUUUUAGUUUAUUUUUGUGCAUGGUGUCAGGGUGUUUUCUAGUU
rnacentral:lncRNA from 1 species